rnacentral:rRNA from 1 species
UACGGGGGGGGCAAGCGUUGUUCGGAAUUACUGGGCGUAAAGGGCUCGUAGGCGGCUCGCUAAGUCAGACGUGAAAUCCCUCAGCUUAACUGGGGAACUGCGUCUGAGACUGGCAAGCUCGAGUGCAGGAGAGGAACGCGGAAUUCCAGGUGUAGCGGUGAAAUGCGUAGAUAUCUGGAGGAACACCGGUGGCGAAGGCGGCGUUCUGGACUGCAACUGACACUGAUGAACGAAAGCCAGGGGAGCAAACGGG